UACGUAGGGGGCGAGCGUUGUCCGGAAUCAUUGGGCGUAAAGCGCGUGUAGGCGGCUCGAUAAGUCCGGUGUGAAAGCUUGGGGCUCAACCCCAAGCCUGCACUGGAUACUGUCGAGCUCGAGUCCGGGAGGGGAGAGCGGAAUUCCUAGUGUAGCGGUGAAAUGCGCAGAUAUUAGGAAGAACACCGGUGGCGAAGGCGGCUCUCUGGAACGGUACUGACGCUGAGACGCGAAAGCGUGGGGAGCGAACAGG
rnacentral:rRNA from 1 species